rnacentral:rRNA from 1 species
UGGGGAAUAUUGGACAAUGGGCGAAAGCCUGAUCCAGCGACGCCGCGUGGGUGAAGAAGGCCUGCGGGUUGUAAAGCCCUUUCGUCGGGGAAGCGUUACCCGAAGAAGAAGCACCGGCUAACUCUGUGCCAGCAGCCGCGGUAAUACAGAGGGUGCGAGCGUUAAUCGGAAUUACUGGGCGUAAAGCGCACGUAGAUGGCUUCGUAAGUCGGAUGUGAAAUCCCCGGGCUCAACCUGGGAACUGCAUUCGAAACUGCGUUGCUCGAGUGUGGAAGAGGGAAGCGGAAUUCCAGGUGUAGCGGUGAAAUGCGUAGAUAUCUGGAGGAACAUCAGUGGCGAAAGCGGCUUCCUGGUCCAACACUGACAUUCAGGUGCGAAAGCGUGGGGAGCAAACAGGAUUAGAUACCCCAGUAGU